CCUACGGGAGGCAGCAGUGGGGAAUAUUGCACAAUGGGGGAAACCCUGAUGCAGCGACGCCGCGUGAGGGAAGAAGUAUCUCGGUUCGUAAAGUUCUAUCAGCAGGGACGAUAAUGACGGUAGUUGCUUAAGAAGCAGCGGCUACCUACGUGCCAGCAGCCGCGGUAAUACGUAGGGGGCAAGCGUUAUCCGGAUUUACUGGGUGUAAUGGGAGCGUAGACGGCGAUGCAAGCCAGAUGUGAAAGCCCGGGGCUCAACACCGGGACUGCAUUUGGAACUGUAUAGCUGGAGUGUCGGAGAGGCAGGCGGAAUUCCGAGUGUAGCGGUGAAAUGCGUAGAUAUUAGGAGGAACACCAGUGGCGAAGGCGGACUGCUGGACGAUGACUGACGUUGAGGCGCGAAAGCGUGGGGAGCAAACAGGAUUAGAUACCCGAGUAGUC
rnacentral:rRNA from 1 species